AAGGGCGCACGGUGGAUGCCUUGACACUAGGAGUCGAUGAAGGACGGGACUAACGCCGAUAUGCUUCGGGGAGCUGUAAGUAAGCUUUGAUCCGAAGAUUUCCGAAUGGGGAAACCCACUAUACGUAAUGGUAUGGUAUCCUUACCUGAAUACAUAGGGUAUGGAAGACAGACCCAGGGAACUGAAACAUCUAAGUACCUGGAGGAAGAGAAAGCAAAUGCGAUUUCCUGAGUAGCGGCGAGCGAAACGGAACAUAGCCCAAACCAAGAGGCUUGCCUCUUGGGGUUGUAGGACAUUCUAUACGGAGUUACAAAGGAACGAGGUAGACGAAGCGACCUGGAAAGGUCCGUCGUAGAGGGUAACAACCCCGUAGUCGAAACUUCGUUCUCUCUUGAAUGUAUCCUGAGUACGGCGGAACACGUGAAAUUCCGUCGGAAUCUGGGAGGACCAUCUCCCAAGGCUAAAUACUCCCUAGUGAUCGAUAGUGAACCAGUACCGUGAGGGAAAGGUGAAAAGCACCCCGGAAGGGGAGUGAAAGAGAUCCUGAAACCGUGUGCCUACAAAUAGUCAGAGCCCGUUAAUGGGUGAUGGCGUGCCUUUUGUAGAAUGAAC
rnacentral:rRNA from 2 species